rnacentral:rRNA from 1 species
AUUGAACGCUGGCGGAAUGCUUUACACAUGCAAGUCGAGCGGCAGCACGGGGGCAACCCUGGUGGCGAGCGGCGAACGGGUGAGUAAUGUAUCGGAACGUACCUUUCAGUGGGGGAUAACGUAGCGAAAGUUACGCUAAUACCGCAUAUUCUGUGAGCAGGAAAGCAGGGGAUCGCAAGACCUUGCGCUGAUGGAUGAGCCGAAGUCGGAUUAGCUUGUUGGUGGGGUAAUGGCCUACCAAGGCGACGAUCCGUAGCUGGUCUGAGAGGACGACCAGCCACACUGGGACUGAAACACGGGCCAUACUCCUACGGGAGGCAGCAGUGGGGAAUUUUGCGCAAUGGGCGAAAGCCUGACGCAGCAACGCCGCGUGAGGGAUGAAGGG